rnacentral:rRNA from 1 species
CGCUGGCGGCGUGCCUAAUACACGCAAGUCGAGCGAAUCAAUAGGAGCUUGCUCCUAUUGGUUAGCGGCGGACGGGUGAGUAACACGUGGGCAACCUGCCUGUAAGACUGGGAUAACACCGGGAAACCGGUGCUAAUACCGGAUAAUUCUUUUCCUCUCAUGAGGAAAAGCUGAAAGUCGGUUUCGGCUGACACUUACAGAUGGGCCCGCGGCGCAUUAGCUAGUUGGUGAGGUAACGGCUCACCAAGGCGACGAUGCGUAGCCGACCUGAGAGGGUGAUCGGCCACACUGGGACUGAGACACGGCCCAGACUCCUACGGGAGGCAGCAGUAGGGAAUCUUCCACAAUGGACGAAAGUCUGAUGGAGCAACGCCGCGUGAGCGAUGAAGGCCUUCGGGUCGUAAAGCUCUGUUGUUAGGGAAGAACAAGUACCGGAGUAACUGCCGGUACCUUGACGGUACCUAACCAGAAAGCCACGGCU